rnacentral:lncRNA from 1 species
UUUUUUUUUUUUUGCAUCUUUCAAAAACCACGCAAUGAGCAACAACACAAGAAUAAGAGAGUAGAGAGAACUAUUGAUUACAAUGAAAGGGCAAUUAACUUUAUUUCACCUAUUUCUAAUAUGUCUUUUAGUCUUGAGAUCAUAAAUGAGCUACUCUGGGACAUAAAUUGAACGGCCCCAUUAAAUUCAAAACUAACUUCAAUAUGGUACACCAAUAGGGGACUUUUGUUUCCCCAUUAUCUGUAAAUGGAAAAAUAGAGUGAGAACACAGCGAUUAUUCUGGGUCUCUAAGGAAAUGGGUCACAAAAGAGAGAAAAGGUAGAGGGAAUGAAAUGUACCAAGAUUAAUAGUUUCAAGGUAAGAGUCUCAAAUAUUAGGCUGUAUCAGAAUCACCUGGCAAUCUUAUUAAAUCAGGUUGUAGGAGCACACAUUCCAGAGUUUCUGAUUCCGUACACUGGGGUAAAACUCUAAGCAACACUACUCUAGCCAGUUCCUGGAUGCUGUUGAUGCCAGUGGGGACAGUGUUCCAGGGCUAAGGCUUUCAGAUCACCCCUGCCUAUGUCCAGGGACCAGAGCCUUGACCACUAGAGCAUACUGCCUACCAUACCAAAAUAGUUUUGCUUAAAGCAUUUUUCUAGAAUACCAAAACUAUGUUUAAUUUGAAUGUGUAUAUUUGAGGAAAGUCUUGAACCUGACUCACCAAGAUUGAUACUCCACUUAAAGAAAUGAGAUUUCCAGAAACUUCAGCCUGCACCCAAAAGUAAGCCAAUCACUAACAAUUCGUUCUUUCAGCAAAUGUUGAUUCAGGACUAACCAGGUGACCCAGUAAUUUGUUAAGCACUGGCACCCUGUAUAAAGGAAACAGCUUCUACUUUUUUGGAACCAACACUAAACUCCCCAAAUAAAAGUCACAACGGGGGCUCCACUGUCGCUAUGGUGUUUUCCGGUGACUUAGAAAAAGUUUCCCUACAGCACAUGGAGCACUGCUACACUUUAGCUCCUCCUUCCCCCAGGCUUGGCCCGAUGUCCAGCACAUAACCUGCAUAAAUGGUCACCCUGAGACUUGUUUAAACAAAGCACUUACACUUAAACUUUGUCUUGUUUAUUCCUAUUUAAUUUGCAGUUCUCAAACUCAAUUACGGGUUUUCAAAUCCCCAGCCUGUUUCAAGAUUUUAGAGACUUUUACAAGGUUGGAGAGGAAACUCGGAUACAAAGCUUGGGUGAUCAUACUCCUCUGUCCAAGAGAUAUUCUCAUCAUUACCCCCUAGAGAGAUUCCUAUUUUUAUUCUCCCUCUUCAUCACUAGUUUUCCUCCUUUCCCCUCCCUUUCAGGAAGCUUACUGUGUUUAACACUAAAAUAUGUAGAUAUUAUUUGAAUGCACCUGUACGUCCAUGGAGACGUAAAAAACUAUACAUAACUCUUAAAUACAAUGUAUUUGUAUUAUUUUGAGAUCAAUGUAUCUUUAACUUCCAAAACUUGCAUUAGGCUGUGGGACCUAGCCCCACUUAGGUUUUUCUCUUCAAAAUUAAGUUCUUUUUUUUUUUUUUUUUUUUUUUUUUUUUUGUCUUUGCACCGCACCCAUGACAUAUGGAAGUUCCCAGGCUAGGGGUCGAAUCAGAGCUACACUGCCAGUCUACAUCACAGCCACAGCAAUGCAGGAACUGAGCCAGGUCUGCAACCUACACCACAGCUCACGGCAACACUGGAUCCUUGACCCACUGAAAAAGGUCAGGGAUCAAACCUGAGUCCUCAUGGAUCCUAGUCAGGUUGGUUAACCACUGAGCCAUGACGGGAACUCCCAAAGUUACGUUUUUAAAUUUUAAUCAGACUUAAAUGUACAUUGAGUCCAUUACUUCUAACUGCAGCAAAGUCUUACGUGGCAAACAUCCACACUACUUUCUUUUUCCAUUCCCCAAGCAAUGAACACCGAGGUCACCACCAGUGCUCAGUAAUGUCCAGCAAUGUUAUGGUGAAAAUUAUGAUAUAUCUCUUGGUAGACUAUUUCAGGACAGAAUAAUAAUUACAAAAUGAGAAGUGAUGGUGGGAAGUAAGUGGGGAAGAAAACAAAAAUUCAAAAUUUACACAGAAAAAAAUGUUUCAGUGAUUUUAGAGUGUUACUGGAGCUGCCUUUUUAUGGGAAGUAAAAUAAAAGCAAUAAAAAUGAUUUCUUCAAGAACUGACAUGAAAUGCUUCCUCAUAGAUGUGUUCCUAUAACCACCCAGACCCUGGGGGACUGAGAAAAUAAACUAGAAGUAUUAGAGUUCAGGACAAGUUACUUAACCAGAAGAAAUUAGUUCGUAAAUUUAGAAAAAUUUAGAAAAAUUUGUCAUGUUAACCUGACAAGUGUUAUUUUAGUAUCAGCUGUAUAAGAAAAAAAAGCCACCAUUGUUCUACUUCUUAUAAGGAUACUGACCCCUUAGUUCACAAAGUUCUUAUUCUGGGAUAGUUCAGCAGUGUUAGAAGAAAGAUGGUUUUCAAUACUUGGACAGAGAGACUUUCAGUUGUUGUCGUUACCAGUGGCUCUUAAUGCUGCCUGCAUUUGAAAAUCACCUAUUAAAAAUUCCAUGACCAGGGAUCCAGGCUGGACUACUUAGACUUUCUAAAAGGGAGCCCAAGAGUGGUAUUUUUCAAAACUGUUCAUAUCACCCAAAUGUGCAGAUAAGACUGAUAAAAGUCAAUGAACCAACCACUUUAAGUUAGAGACAGUGGGUCAAUCAGGAUGGCAAUACUAAGUUAACAGAAAACAUUGUUUCAAACUGGCAUAAAUAAUAAUGGAACUGAUCAUCUCACCCAGUCACAAGUUUGCAAUGCAGGCUUCUGCCAAGUAUAUCCAGGUCUCAGCUCUACUUCUCCAAAGUUCUGUGCUUCUGCUCCAACAAAUGCCUUCCUCUGCAGACUGGCAGCAAACUGGUUUGCAGCCACUUCAACACCACGCACCGAAGUACAACCAGCAGCCACUGCUUCCCAGGAAAAAAAAAAAAAAAAAAAAAAAAUCCCAGAAGCCCUCAAUAUAUACCUACUCAUGCCUAAUUGCACAAGCUGACAACGGUAAUUGAAUUAUAAAGACCAGCUGAGGGUGAUGGUUCUCAAGCUUGAGUGUGUGUUACAAUCACCUGGAGAGCCUGUUAACUCACAGAUCACUGGCCUAACCCCCUGGGCUUCUUACCCAGUUCUUCUAGGGUAGGGCCCAUGUAUUUGCAUACUUAAUUCCCAAAGCGAUUUUGCUGCCCUUUGAAAACCGUUUUGAGAACCUGCUGACAAUGUAAGCAGCUUUCCCUAAAACGCGUGGCUCUGUGAAAGAGUAAUCAUCUGUGGUUAUUUAAAUAUGUCCACAAACUCUGUGACACUCCUUUCAAAAGCUGGACUCUAUAAUUUCCCUUCUUUGACUUUGGGCUGGACGUAGUGCCUCACUUCAAACAAACUGAAUAAAAUAGAAGUGACAGUGUAUGACUUCUGGGUCAUAAAACUCACUGUAGCUUCCACCUUGGUCAAGCUCUAGAAUCAUUCACUCUGAAGGAAACAAAUGGCCAUGCUGUAAGGACACUCUAAGGAGAAACCCACAUGGUCAAAAACUGAGGCUCACAAUUCCCAAUAGAUGAAUAUGUGAAUUAGUAUAAACGACAUUAGUAUCUACUUUUCUAAAACUCUCAAUAAACAUAUUGGUUCCAAGAAAAUCAGUAAUAUUGGAAUUUGUUCAAAAUCAGAUCAAAGCAUUUAGACACAUCUUCAAGUAUUCGAAGAUUAAUUACCAUUGCCAUAAAUAGCCACGAAAUGUAAUACUACUAAAAACUUUUGUUCAUAAUAAACCAAUAAGCCACUAGUGCCUGCUGAACAGCCAUGUGAAAAAAAAGGGAACAGAAAUGUGAAAAAUGUUUCACUUUUGUAGUUUAAAAUUCAUUCAAAUAAGACUGAAAUGCAGUGAUUACCAUAACUAUAAGGGAAAAAUAUUUGAAAGUUUAAAAAAAAAAAAAAAGAACUGAGGCUCCAAUAGCAUGUGAGCGAGUCCUCUUGGAAGCAGAUCCCCCAGGUCCAGUUGAGGCAUCAUAGGUCUGCAGCCCUUGCUAUUAUCCUGACUGCAAACUCCUGAGACAUCCUGAGCCAGAACUCCCCAAAUAGGCUGGCCAUGGGAAUAUAAGGUUAUAAGUAUUUAUUCUUUUAAGCCACUAAGUUUAGAGGAUAAUUUAUUAUACAGCAAUAGUCAACUAAAUGCAAUAAGUGAACAAAACUGGAAAGAGGAAAAUGAGAACCAUGUUGAGUAAUCCACAAUGUCUGGUGCAUCUUGCUUCAGUUAAUGAAAGUUCAGUAAUAAAAACACACAGGUGAAGAAACACGGAAAUUCCAAAAUAGAUUUUAAGGAACAGCAGGAACUUAAAGGUUCUUCUAUAUUGAAACAACCUCUAGGAAUCCCAGUAUCAGGAGCUCAGGGAUCUUGAUCGCAGUGCUAUUCAAGGUUAACUCAAGAAAAGCUUGUUCUAUUCUCCUCUUCCUAUAGACAAGCCACCUCAUAUUCUACUCUCUAUCUUUUGUUAUUGUUAAUCUCAUAUUCUCCAUUCCCUCCUUCUGGUUCAUGCUUCCUUCCCCCCAGGGUUUCUGAGACUCUCUUUCUGCUACUCAAAGUGGUCUGUGGCCCAGCAUCAUCAGUUUCACCUGGGAGGUUGUUAGAACUGCAGAACUUUGGGCCCAACUCUAGACCUGCUGUAUCAGAAUCAGCAUUUAAAUUUGAGAAAUGUGGCUCUAUACCAUGACUGUUAGGCUUAAGCUCCCAUCGCUUCUUGCAAUGGUCCCCAUAUUUUGAUUCAUUUUGUAGUUACCUGGGAUGUUUAAAAAUGGCCAGUGCUAGCUCCCACCCUAGACAUUCUGAUUUGAUGUAUAUGAGUCAAGAUAAACCAUUGCAAGUGUUAGAAGCUUCCAGGUGAUUCUAAUGUCCAAUUAAGUUUUGGAACUAUUAGCUUACAACAUUCAUUCCUUGGUAUUUCCCAAUUAACUUUAAAAACAGAGGACACUUGAUUAACCUGUCUUAUUUUUUAAUACCAAGGCAUGUCACGGGCAUUUAACCACUCAAUUUCGGGGGAAAGAGUGAGUAUUGCAGGACUAUAUGACCCAAAACACAACCACUGCUGCACAGAAAUGCUGUGGGGAAUGUAGUUUCCUAUAGUACAAUGUUUCUCAAUCUUAACUACAUAUUAGAAUAACCUGGGGAGUUUACAAAUCUCAAUGCCUAAAUCUCACAGAAGAUUUAAUUUAGAAUCUCUAAUCUUUGGGUUGGACCCAAGCAAUGAUACUGCUAAUCCACCCAGAUUUUUUCAAUUUGUAGCCAAUGUAGAAAAACACUUUAAAAUAGAGGAGUGAGCAGUGGACAUGCCUAUGGUAAUGUAUUCCAAAACAAAUACAAAUCAAAAUUGUAUUAGCUUUAAAAAUCAUGGUUAUUUAUUUUUUACCACAACCUAAAAUUAGUUGAGUAAAUGGAAGCAUCAUGUAAGGAAAAGAAGUAGAUUUUCAAUCAGAUAGAAUCAGGGGCUUAACCCAGUGAAUGAAUGGAUUUAGGCAAGUUUUUAAACUUUAAUAAUCCUCAGUUUCCUCAUCUGUAAAAUAGAUAUAAAGCCGACUAACUCCAAGAGUUCUAAGAAUAAUAAGUUUAUUUAUAAUGUACCUAAAACACCUUAGACAUUGUAAGCGAUGAAAUGCUAUUCACUUUCUCUUCCAUAUAUGGGGGAAUAUUUUCUUUAAAAAGUGUAAUUCUGUGUACUAUUGGAUGUAAACCUCCCACCAAACCCAUGGGGUAGGAGUACUUAUUUUUCUAGUUGACAGAAGAGAAAACUGAAACUCAUCUGUCAACUCAAUCAAAAAAAAAAAAAAAAAGGUUAAAUAAUGAGUAAGAAGCUGAGAUUCAAACACAGGGUACCUAAUAUUGGAAAUUAAGAUAACUCUGGCUCAGGUCGUCAGUGUCAGAAAGUGAGACACAUGGACAAGGAGAAAUCUCCACAAGGCUCUUUACUUCUGCGGAUGGGCACAGGUACUCCAAAAAGCAUGCACGCUAAACAAAGGACACUCCCCUAUUUAUCCCUAAGGCAGGUGAUGUACCUGUCCCCUUCCCGUUGGUCAGGUCAGGGCGCACAUUCUUCCUAGUUGGCUAAUUGAAACGAACUAUUGCUGGGAAAAGAGGUAAAGAGGAAGGGGGUCACAGGGGCAUUUCAGCCAAAACCGAAACCCGAAUCAAAAUGGAGUAACCAAGAUUUCCUUUGAUAGAAAAGACAUUGUUACUUUCCACACUAACCCCAAAGCCCAAAUUCUUAGUACUCCCAUUCUACUGCCUCUCUAAAAUAGCUACCUCCUUGUCAUGAAAGACAAAUAUUGUGUUCAUAUGGGGUGCAAAGAACGCACUGGGAUGGGGGAGAAUAACGGCUUUAGCGACCUGACCUGGUGUGGCACAUGUACAACCAGCAUCCUGUUAAUUGUGCUGCUCUUUCUCUUCCCUCAGGCGAACUGUCAAUUGCAGGCCUUUCAGUCCUGCUUUAGAAGGUCACAACACACUUCUUCAAAGGUGGUACUGUCAGUAUAGUUCUGAAAAAUCACCAGAAUGUGCUUUUUUUUUUAUACACAAUUCUUGCCUACACAAGCAUAAUGUAGUCUGUACUUUUGUAAACUAGAGGGUGGAAGAGAUACAAACCUAUAAAUAACUAUUUCCAAUUAACCUUCUACUCUUCCUGUCUUUCAAUUUGAGCUGAGGUCUCUCUCUCCUUCAGAAGCCAAUUACAACUGUCACUUGAUUUUUUUCAGAUAUAUUUCCUCUCUUGUUUAUACUGUUUCUUCUAUCUUGCUGUAGUUAAUUCCUACAAUCUCCCUUGGUAAAUUCAUUAUCC